rnacentral:rRNA from 1 species
GGAUAAGGAAAGUAAAUAAGGGCGCAUGGCGGAUGCCUUGGCUCUCGGAGGCGAUGAAGGACGUGAUAAGCUGCGAUAAGCUUUGGGGAGGUGCAAAUGACCUUUGAUCCAGAGAUUUCCGAAUGGGACAACCCAAUAUCUUGAAGAGGUAUUAUCCAACGUUGUUGGAGGCUAACGCAGGGAACUGAAACAUCUUAGUACCUGCAGGAAAAGAAAAUAAACAAUGAUUCCCCCAGUAGUGGCGAGCGAACGGGGAACAGCCCAAACCAUCCAUGUUACGGCAUGGGUGGGGUUGUAGGACUACGCCGUUGCAUGAAGACAUCAGAGAAGAACUUUCUGGAAAGAAAGACCAUAGAGCAUGACAGUUGCGUAUUCGAAUGUUGUCGAAGCAUAGUAGUAUCCUGAGUAGCGCGGAGCACGAGGAAUUCUGCGUGAAUCUGCCGGGACCAUCCGGUAAGGCUAAAUACUCCCGAGAGACCGAUAGCGAACCAGUACCGUGAGGGAAAGGUGAAAAGCACUUCGAACAGAAGAGUGAAAUAGUUCCUGAAACCGUGCGCCUACAAGCGGUCGGAGCUCGUUAAUGAGUGACGGCGUGCCUUUUGCAUAAUGAACCUACGAGUUGCCUUUGCCGGCAAGGUUAAGUGUGACGACACACGUAUCCGAAGCGAAAGCGAGUCUGAAGAGGGCGUAUAGUCGGCAGUGGCAGACGCGAAACCAAGUGAUCUACCCUUGGCCAGGUUGAAGGCUGGGUAACACCAGCUGGAGGACCGCACCAAUAAGCGUUGAAAAGCUUCUGGAUGAGCUGAGGGUAGGGGUGAAAGGCUAAUCAAACUUGGAGAUAGCUCGUACUCCCCGAAAUGCAUUUAGGUGCAGCCUUGCGGGUUACUGAUGUGAGGUAGAGCGACUGAUAAGAUGCGAGGGCUUCACCGCCUAUCAAGUCUUGACAAACUCCGAAUGCGCAUCAGUUCUACCGCAGGAGUGAGGGCAUGGGUGCUAAGGUCCGUGCCCGAGAGGAGAAGAAUCCGGACCACCUGCUAAGGUCCCGAAAUGACAGCUAAGUUAAACUAACGAAGUCUGACUGCUAAGACAGCUAGGAUGUUGGCUUGGAAGCAGCCAUUCAUUUAAAGAGUGCGUAACAGCUCACUAGUCGAGGAGUCGGGCGUGGAUAAUAAUCGGGUAUUAAGUUGUCUACCGAAGCAGUGGGAUCAUUAAUAUGAUCGGUAGGGGAGCAUUCCAGUCAGCGUCGAAGGCGUACCGUGAGGUAUUCUGGAGCGUCUGGAAAAGCAAAUGUAGGUAUAAGUAACGAUAAAGGGGGCGGGAAACCCCCUCGCCGAAAGACUAAGGUUUCCUGAUCAACGCUAAUCGGAUCAGGGUCAGUCGGGUCCUAAGGCUCAGCCGAACGGCGAUGCCGAUGGCAGAAACGGUUAAUAUUCCGUUACUACCUUCAGGAGUGACGUGGAGACGCAGUAGUGACAGUGCCGCCAUCUGACGGAAUAGAUGGUUGAAGGGUGUAGGAGUCGAUCAUGGCAGGCAAAUCCACCAUGAGAUCCGAACCUGACAGUAUGCCGCGUCCUUCGGGACAAGGCAAUAGUGCGCGUAAGCAUGCUGCCGAGAAAAUCCGCUAAACUUAAUCCUGCAGGUACCCGUACCGCAAACGGACACACGUAGUCGGGAUGAAUAUUCUAAGGCGCUUGAGUGAUUCACGGUUAAGGAACUAGGCAAACUGACCCUGUAACUUCGGGAUAAAGGGUCCCUACCCUUUUAUGGGAGGGCGCAGAGAAUCGGUCCAGGCAACUGUUUAACAAAAACACAGGGCUGUGCCAAAUCGAAAGAUCCAGUAUACAGCCUGACACCUGCCCGGUGCUGGAAGGUUAAGAGGAGAUGUCAUCGAUAAGAGAAGCGUUGAAUUGAAGCCCCAGUAAACGGCGGCCGUAACUAUAACGGUCCUAAGGUAGCGAAAUUCCUUGUCGGGUAAGUUC